UACGGGGGGGGGCAAGCGUUGUUCGGAAUUACUGGGCGUAAAGGGCUCGUAGGCGGCCAACUAAGUCAUACGUGAAAUCCCUCGGCUUAACCGGGGAACUGCGUCUGAUACUGGAUGGCUUGAGUUCGGGAGAGGGAUGCGGAAUUCCAGGUGUAGCGGUGAAAUGCGUAGAUAUCUGGAGGAACACCGGUGGCGAAGGCGGGUCUCUGGGCCGUAACUGACGCUGAGGAGCGAAAGCGUGGGGAGCGAACAGG
rnacentral:rRNA from 1 species